UACGUAGGGUGCGAGCGUUUAAUCGGAAUUAUUGGGCGUAAAGCGCGCGCAGGCGGUUUCUUAAGUGAGACGUGAAAUCUCCCGGCCUAACUGGGAGGGGUCGUUUCAGACUGGGAGACUUGAGGACGGCAGAGGUUGGUGGAAUUCCUGGUGUAGUGGUGAAAUGCGUAGAGAUCAGGAGGAACACCGGUGGCGAAGGCGGCCAACUGGGCCGUCACUGACGCUGAGGAGCGAAAGCGUGGGGAGCGAACAGG
rnacentral:rRNA from 1 species